CGGUAAUCGGAAGUCUACUGGACGAAUGCGGGAACGUUGCGAUAUUUCCUGCUUAAUAUUUUCAGGCACAAUGAAUGAUAUUAAGGGCAGGUGCGCCACAUUGGGGGAAGAUGCAAAGAAAAAAUACAUUCAAGAGGCAGCAGCACUGAGGGCACAUGAGAUGGAGGCAAUUUGUGCUGUGUCUGCCGCAUCCAUUUUUAUGAUAAGAAGAAGAAUGCAAGAAAGAAGUGGCGUUCAUGGUCUCAGUGCACAGUGUGCCAAUCAUGGUCACACACAGCAUGUGGCUUUAAAAAGAACAAGUGCGUACACUGCCAGGGUCAAGACACCAUGCUAACACCCUGAAGAUGUAUCUUGUUACUUGUUUGAGUUGUUUUUACUGUGUUGACGGCCCCCAACCCAUCCAUACAAACACACACACACAAUACAUACAUAUGCUGCAAAUUUAUUGUAAUGACCACACUUCACACGUAAGAAGAAAAUUGUGAUCUUUUUGUUAUUUUCAUUCACCCCAUUUUUAUUUAUUAUUGUUGUUUGUUGGCACCAUCAAUGUGUUCUCCUUUAUACAGGACUUAUGUGGGGACCAAUAAAGUUAUAUUGUACUGAA